rnacentral:rRNA from 1 species
AUUGAACGCUGGCGGCAUGCUUUACACAUGCAAGUCGAACGGUAACAGGGAGCUUGCUCCGCUGACGAGUGGCGAACGGGUGAGUAAUGCGUCGGAACGUGCCGAGUAGUGGGGGAUAACGCAUCGAAAGGUGUGCUAAUACCGCAUACGAACUGAGGUUGAAAGUGGGGGACCUUCGGGCCUCACGCUAUUCGAGCGUCCGACGUGGGAUUAGCUAGUUGGUGAGGUAAUGGCUCACCAAGGCGACGAUCCGUAACUGGUCUGAGAGGAUGAUCAGUCACACUGGAACUGAGACACGGUCCAGACUCCUACGGGAGGCAGCAGUGGGGAAUAUUGGACAAUGGGCGAAAGCCUGAUCCAGCCAUGCCGCGUGUGUGAAGAAGGUCUUCGGAUUGUAAAGCACUUUAAGUUGGGAGGAAGGGUUGUAGAUUAAUACUCUGCAAUUUUGACGUUACCGACAGAAUAAGCACCGGCUAACUCUGUGCCAGCAGCCGCAGUAAUAC